GGCUUUAUAGUUAGAUAAGUGGUUUGAAUGUUGGACUAUGACUCUGGACACCAGGGUUUGAAUCCCUGCUGAGCCA